rnacentral:rRNA from 1 species
UUGACCUCGGAUCAGGUAGGAAUACCCGCUGAACUUAAGCAUAUCAAUAAGCGGAGGAAAAGAAACCAACAGGGAUUGCCCUAGUAACGGCGAGUGAAGCGGCAACAGCUCAAAUUUGAAAUCUGGCUUCGGCCCGAGUUGUAAUUUGUAGAGGAUGCUUUUGGUGAGGUGCCUUCUGAGUUCCCUGGAACGGGACGCCAGAGAGGGUGAGAGCCCCGUAUAGUCGGCCACCGAUCCUCUGUAAAGCUCCUUCGACGAGUCGAGUAGUUUGGGAAUGCUGCUCAAAAUGGGAGGUAUAUCUCUUCUAAAGCUAAAUAUAGGCCAGAGACCGAUAGCGCACAAGUAGAGUGAUCGAAAGAUGAAAAGCACUUUGAAAAGAGGGUUAAAUAGCACGUGAAAUUGUUGAAAGGGAAGCGCUUGUGACCAGACUUGUGCCGGGCUGAUCAUCCAGUGUUCUCACUGGUGCACUCGACCCGGCUCAGGCCAGCGUCGGUUUUCGCGGGGGGAUAAAAGCUUCGGGAACGUGGCACCUUCGGGUGUGUUAUAGCCCGUUGCUUAAUACCUCCGUGGGGACCGAGGUUCGCGCUCUGCAAGGACGCUGGCAUAAUGGUC